UGGGGAAUAUUGCACAAUGGGCGCAAGCCUGAUGCAGCAAUGCCGCGUGAGUGAAGACGGCCUUAGGGUUGUAAAACUCUUUCGCUAGGGAAGAUAAUGACGGUACCUAGUAAAGAAGUCCCGGCUAACUCCGUGCCAGCAGCCGCGGUAAUACGGAGGGGACUAGCGUUGUUCGGAAUUACUGGGCGUAAAGAGUUCGUAGGCGGACUAGCAAGUUAGAGGUGAAAUCCCAGGGCUCAAACCUUGGAACUGCCCUUUAAAACUGCUAGUCUAGAGACCGGAAGAGGUUAGGGGAAUACCUAGUGUAGAGGUGAAAUUCGUAGAUAUUAGGGUGGAACACCAGUGGCGAAGGCGCCUAACUGGUCCGGUACUGACGCUGAGGAACGAAAAGCGUGGGGAGCAAACAGGAUUAGAUACCCUGGUAGUCCACGCCGUAAAACGAUGAGUGCUAGAUGUUGGGAUUUUCGGAUUUUCA
rnacentral:rRNA from 1 species